GUCUAGCCUGCGUGGGAUUGUAGACGCAGAAAGGGCCCUGAACGGUGUGGUCAACAUCAACAAAACAUCAAACAUCCACCUCAGAUACACGUCUAGGAGAGGCAGAGCUUUACGUAACAUUAGGACGCCAAAAAGAGGAAGUCGGCGCGGUGAUGCAGAGGCGGUGGAGGGUGUGACUGUGAGAACAGAGAGUUCCUGCAGACGUCCUGAAACAGUGAAGAAACACGGGACAGCUUCUCUCCAGGCUUGUGACUCAGACCGAGUGAGUGUGAGAGAGUGCAGUGAUGCUGGAAGAAAACUGCAGGAGAGACACACUAACACACACACAGGACCGAAUCCGCUCAGAAGCACAUGACUUCAACUAGACCUGCAUGAUAUCAUUUGUGUGCUGAUCAGCUCUAAAUCACUGGACAGAAACCAGGCCUCAAAUCUCAAAUCUCCCUUGACGCUGCUGUUUCUCUCGGUCUCACACUUUGGAAAACAAUGAAGACACAGGCUAGUCUUCGUUCAGCCCAGGUCACAUGACAACACUGCAACGAGGCACAACCCAAGUUUGUUACGCUUUUCUUCAGGCCUGAUUUCAAGAAACUAUCAUAGCCCAAAAGAUUUGUAUUGAAUUAUAAACUUUUGUGCAUGUAUAAUUGAGAUGAUUUCUUAUAACUGAGAAACCAUUAGCUAGUUUUGUCAAAAACCUCUGCCCAAUAAUUAUAGUUUAAUAAAAAAAAAUUAUAAUAAUUGUAAUA